rnacentral:rRNA from 1 species
GGGCGAGCGUUGCCCGGAUUCACUGGGCGUAAAGCGGGUGUAGGCGGUCUCUUAAGUCGGAUGUGAAAUCCUGCGGCCUAACCGCGGAACUGCAUCCGAUACUGGGAGACUUGAGGACGGUAGAGGUCGGUGGAAUUCCCGGUGUACCGGUGAAAUGGACAGAUAUCGGGAGGAACACCAGUGGCGAAGGCGGCCGACUGGGCCGAUCCUGACGCUGAGACCCGAAAGCCAGGGUAGCGAACCGG